GCUCUUCUGUCAGAAGACUCACUUAAAUUGAAGACUUUGUGACGUUUGAAGCUCUUGGAAAUGUAUCGGGAUUGAAUCUCCAUGCAGUGCAAGUUUUGCUGUUUUUCUGCUGACCAAGACGACCUUGUUAGGCAUCACCAGCUUUGCCACAAGAGACGUCACCAUUGGCCCCUAUUCCAUCGGAGGAAAGCUCUGGGUGACCCUUAGGACACAUUUAUGUUAAGAGAAAAUGGCACGGCUACUCCGUGUUAUUUUGUCUGCUAAUGAGGCACGACGUGUCAAACUUAGCGAAGAGCCACAGUCUGUAGAUGCACUGGUUGACUUCUUAAGAGAAAAACUACCGCUGCAAGGAGACUUUUCUUUACAAUUUGAGGACCCUGACUUUGAGAAUGCCCUGUGUGAUUUAUCAGCUAUAGCUGAAUUACCAAGUGAUCGGGCAAUCCUGCACAUAAAGUGGAAAGUGCCUACUAUUACUUUAAGUGUCAUACAACCUAAUGAAUUUGACAUUCAGUCUCUUGGAUCUAUAUCGUCUCUGGACACAGCAAGUUUAGGAUCUCCGGGGAGGACUUUAUCUGGCUUUUCGCCUUGCCCUUCACUUAGCCCUUCGACCCACCCUUCACCUAGCCAAUCACCCUCAACUACUGGAAACAUGCGCAGUGCUUCAGUGUGGCCUUCUCCAUUUCCAAUUCCUCCUCUGUCUC